CUCCUACGGAGGCAGCAGUGGGGAAUUUUGCGUCAAUGGGGGAAACCCUGACGCAGCAACGCCGCGUGGAGGAUGAAGCCCUUGGGGUCGUAAACGUCCUUUCGACCGGGUAAAAUGAAUGAUGGUACCGGUGGAAGAAGCACCGGCUAACUCUGUGCCAGCCGCCGCGGUAAUAC
rnacentral:rRNA from 1 species